AAAGAGUAAUCAAAAGAAGCCAUAGCACUAUUCGGUUGCUCCUAAACCAAUUAGUACUGAACCCACUACUAGAUCGACCUUCUCUCCCUGGUGUUCGGCUAGAACUUAAUUAAUCUUCGAAACGAAGGAGAAUUCUUAGGACUUGAUCGCGCAGAUAACGAGGACUUCAACUGUUGCCUCCCUAAAUUUCUCUGCAAAUCUAAGUCUAUUAUUGUUAUUCACGUCCUCCAUCAUCACACUAGAAGGAAAUU
rnacentral:lncRNA from 1 species